GAUAGAACAAAUUAGAUAGAACUGUUACGAUUAUAUAAAAUAACAGAAUAACUGCAUUGGUAAAAAUACAAUAUCGCUGAUAUUGUGAAGUUUUUAGAUAGUAAUGAGCGCUGCUUUUCUUGGAUCAUCCGGAAGGGAAUGACCUACCGGAUAACAUCGUUAAAUAAAGAGCAAAAAAGAAAGGAAGAAAGAGAGAAACAACGUGCGACAAAAUAAGCUCAUUGUCAAUCGAUCAGAUAUCAAGGAAGAAGGAAGCCGGAAUGGAGAAAGGAGAACAGAAGUCAGGUGUUUUAGUGUGACUUCCGUGCAUCGGCCUAUCCGGUUUCUUGCAUAGAGUGAAACCGAAGCUGAAGAGCGUCUCCUUAAGUUUCAGCCUGGGAGACCCAUUCACCGUAUUACAUGAUGUACGAUAUGUUUUUCAAAGCGAAUACAAUGACGAGUGGCUGUUCAGCUUAAGCGAAACCGGAAGAACAUCGGGUGGACUUACA